UGUGUGUGUGUGUGUGUGUGUGUGUGUGUGUGUGUGUGUGUGAGACCUCUGUGCUGUGCCUAUCAUCUGGAGAUUACAGGAUAACCCUGUGAAGUCAUUCUCUCCAACCACUAUGAAGGACUCAGGGAUUGAACUCUGUUCCUUACUCCUCCAAAUGUGUUUGCAGGUCGGAACCUAAUGGACAUGAAGCAGUGUCAGAACUUCCUGGAGAAGCCUGUGACCGCUCUGGGGGUGUGAGAUACUUGACCUUGGCCCACACAUGUGCUGUUCCCCUUCUGUGGAUGCCAGUCAGGACAACGAGAUCUCUGUCCCUCAGAAUUACCUUGGUUGUUGAUUUAGGGAUACUCCAACAUCUCAGCUUAGUACUCUGCCUUUAGAUCUCAUUGAAUCUUAGCAGUCUAGAUGAUUUAUCCCUGUUCUUUAUGCCCAGUUUACUUUACCAAAACUUUAUGUGGCUGUAACAGUAAGUAUGCAAUGUUUUAGGACAUGGCUAUGCCCAUUGGCAUACUCAGAGCCUUUGCCCAAGGAUGCUCUUACUUACCUGUGAGGAGAGCAAGCCAGGAGCUUUUAUCCUUACUCAGUUAUGAGCACAAACUAAAUUUUAGAGCAUGGCCUGCCACAGUGUGGUUCUUGAGCCUGCUAGCUCCUGGCUCCACUGUUCAAGCUUCUUUUUGUAAUUCUUUGUUGGGACUUUUUCCAUACCUUACUUAGCAGUGUCAAGAGGAACCUUCUGUAGAAACUGGAGUCCAGAAAGCCCAUGGCAGGAUUUCCAGCAGGAUCUUGACCCAUAGUACUUCUCCUGGCUUCCAUCACUGCCUUUACCAAUAAUAUACUCCUAUCUGUCCUUAGAUCUUGUCUGUUCCCAUGCUCUGCCCUCAGUGAAGAAGUUGGGAGCAAGUCUAAAAUGAAUGAAAUAUAGUCUCUGGAUUCUAUCAGAAAGGAUGCAUCUGAUCCCUGAGGCUCUGAGAAGCCAACAACCUGUUCAAGGAACACUAACAAAUUCACGUAGUCCUAUCUCCCAGAAGACAGGUCAAGGUGUUGCUGUCAGAAGGGUGGUUGACUUGAGCCACUCAGAACUUCAGUCUGAGACAGAAAGCCAAGACUCAGAGGACUUUUCCCACGGCCUACCUGAGGAUCGUCUUAGAACUCAAGAUCACCCAGGACAACCUUUUUUAGUUGAAGCUGUUGGGGGAAUCACAAUCCAAUGCUUCUAAAGUUUCAGUAUGAAGAACAGGGUACUUAGUGUGUUCAGGACUGCCUCAGAAGGGGUGUCCAUUUGAGGAAGAAGUCUGACCACCAGGUGGAAAGCACUCAAGUGACCCCAGAAUGGUAAACUUAAAAACCAUCCAAGAACCAACAGUACAAUCAGAAGGAAAAGAGC